GUGAGGAAUAUUGGGCAAUGGAUGCAAGUCUGACCCAGCCAUCCCGCGUGCCGGAAGAAGGCCCUCAGGGUUGUAAACGGCUUUUGACGGUGAAGAAUCGACAGGAUGCGUCCUGUUUUGACGGUAGCCGUUGAAUAAGCACCGGCUAACUCCGUGCCAGCAGCCGCGGUAAUACGAAGGGUGCGAGCGUUGUCCGGAUUUAUUGGGUUUAAAGGGUGCGUAGGCUGGAAGGUCAGUCAGCGGUGAAAAGCUGUCGCUUAACGAUAGUCUUGCCGCAGAUACUUCCUUUCUUGGAUGAGGAGGAGGCCACUGGAACGGAUGGUGUAGCGGUGAAAUGCAUAGAUAUCAUCCAGAACACCGAUUGCGAAGGCAGGUGGCUGUACCUUAAUCGACGCUGAUGCACGAAAGCAUGGGGAGCAAACAGGAUUAGAAACCCGGGUAGUCC
rnacentral:rRNA from 1 species